ensembl:lncRNA
UGACUGUAAACGGUUUUUGAUCAAGCUAGGCUAGACUGACGAUAGAUCAAUAUAUAUCUGAAAGUAUUUGGGGGUUUUUUCAUCCCAGCGUCUCUUUUGCUCCCGAAGACCCCAUUUGCACAGCAGGUGAAAUCAUGGAUGGUUUGCUUAAGGAAAUAAGAAGCAAGGACCAAGCAGCCGCCUCUGUACUGGAACAAAUCAAUUGGUGAGCUCAUAGAAAAAUCCAAGCACUUCAUCCCACAUGACUCUCUCAGGGCUGCCUUAACUGAAAAUGGAGUUUUGGUCGACUACCUGAAAAUGUUGAAGGAAAUGAAGACCCAAAUGAAUAAAGAUUUCCUUGAUCCGCAUAUCAAUCUACUGGAGGACUUCAGGAAAUCUCAACCAUCGCAGGACCAGGACAAAGGUGAAAUCAUGGAUAUUUUGCUUAAGGAAAUAAGACGCAAGGAUGAAGUGGCAGCCAAUAAACUGGAAGAGGAAGGUUUGAGAGCUGACUCAGAUCUCCAGUUACUGACUUUACAAGACCUGGGUUUGCUGUUACCUGGAGUUGAAAAUGUCAAACGGAUAAGGGAAAUCUUUGAUAUAAUACACAAGCAGAAACCAAUUGGUGUGCUCAUAGAAAAAUUCAAGGACUUCAUCCCACAUGAAUCUUUCAGGGCUGCCUUAACUGAAAAUGGAGUUUUGGUUGACUACCUGAAAAUGUUGAAGGAAAUGAAGAUCCAAUUGAAUAAAGUGCAAGAUUUCCUUGAUGCACAUAUCAAUCUACUGGAGGACCUCAGGAAAUCUCAACCAUUGCAGAACCAGGACAAAGGUUCUUCGUCAAGUGGUCCAGUGAAGCGCCACAAUAGCCAAACCAGUGACCCUCCACAAAUGCAACAAGAGGAAAACGUUUUGCAUAAAGAAAAAAGACACAAGGAUGAAAAAGCAGCAGGUUCUUCGUCAAGUAGUGAGAAUAGCCAAACUAGUGACCUUCCAGAAAUACAACAAGCCACACUGAAGUACAAGAUGGUGAUAAGUGGAAAAACCUUUAAUGCCCAUCAACAGAUACUGGAAAAAGUAAAGGCUUUAAAUGAGGAUCCAGAUUUGAAUUUGAUCGAACAGGAAGACAGCAAUCAGGAUUGCCAGGCCAUUAUUGUCUUCUGUCCCAUUGUUUCACGUAUGGGGACAGAUAUUGAUGCAGCCAUGACGCAAGUCAAAGGUUCUCAGCCUGUCAUUCUGGUUUUGAUGCAUCACGCACAUGAACCCAAGCAUGUAACUUUAAUGAAAAUACAGAAUAAUGUUUCUAAUGUUGUGUUACCUUUCCAUGUUUUCUACCAUGAGACAGUGCAUGGAUUGUUGCAGUGUCAGCAAAAUAACGAUGCCAUUUCUGAAAUUCGAAAGGCAUUACUGAAGCACGCAGAUAUCCAGACAAUUAAAGAUACAAGUGGAAAGACACAGAAUGUAGCUGCUAAAAGUAGUAAUCGUGGUGGGAGUUUUAUUUUUCGUUUUUGGUAAAUAAUGAUAGUGUAAAUUCAGAUAUUACAAGUCAAAGAAACUGUAUAUAUAUCCCAUGCAUUACUCUUUUGUAAUCUAAUUUUUUUUGCGCUGUAUCACUUCAGUAGUGUAGAUUGCUCUGACCAUUUGAGUAGGAAGCGAAAAUUUUAUGGUUUUGAUCAUGCAAAAUAAUUAUUUUGUACAUUGUGAAACAAAAGGACAGCACAGAAUCGUCUUUGUGACCUUUAUUUCAGUACUUUAAGAUAUUUCAGCUGUAAGGGUAGUUGCAGAGUCAACAGGUGUGAUCAUGAAGUGUCAAAGAAGAGGUCAGAGACACAGUAUAUGGGUGUAGAUAGUCAUAAAACUACUUUCAACUGUACCAACUGCUGUUUAUCUCUAAAAACAAAAGUGACAGCUACAGCUGUAUGUACACAGUGACAUCGUAAGUCCUUUGAUCAUUAAGAUAAAUAAUAAAUAUAUUUAUAUCAAAGUCAAACAUAUUGUGAUUAGUUUCACGGUUGCUAUGUAAAUCUGCAAGUUAUUUUCAUCUUUCAGAAAAAAAAAAUCAAGCCAAUGUUUAAAAUUGUGAAUAAAAAUGUAAAAAAACAUCUGUUGUCUUCUUUUUCUUUUUUCCUUUUUUUUUUUUUUUUUUUUUAAAUUGAGGGGUCCUGAACAGUUCAAAACACCAGUGUAUUUACAGUAUAAUUUAACCUAGUUCAGCUAAUAUUUCUGCUGUUAUUUUCUAUAUUCUUGACUUUUAUUCACUCUAAGAAAGACUAAAGAGUGCAAAGACCACAUAUUCAAUGAUAAGCCACUUUAUACAUGUUUACAUUAUAUUCAUAGAAAAUGAAAAAUUGUGUGUGACAAACUUUUUUUUUCUUUUUUCUUUUCUUUUCUUUUUUUUCUUUCCCUUUUUUUUCUUUUUGGCUGGUGUAAAGUUUGUCAUCUAAAUAAAAUGCCCUUUGUCUCCGGUUCUGUUCAUAAUUUUUAUGGACAGGAUUUCUAGGCGCAGCCAAGUGGCGGAGGGCUUUCGCUUUGGUGGCCUCAGAAUCUCAUCUCUGAUUUUUGCAGAUGAUGUGGUUCUGUUGGCUUCAUCG